rnacentral:rRNA from 1 species
UAUGUCGGUAGUGAAAGCGUGUGGCUCAACCAUAUAUCCAUUAUCGAAACUGCAAGGCUAGAGGACGAGAGAGGUUAUUGGAAUUCCAAGUGUAGGAGUGAAAUCCGUAGAUAUUUGGAGGAACACCGAUGGCGUAGGCAGAUAACUGGCUCGUUCCUGACACUAAGGCACGAAAGCGUGGGAGCAAACGGGAUUAGAUACCCCGGUAGUCCACGCCGUAAACGAUGGAUGCUA